AAUACUCAACAUUAAUGCAUACGGUGGAUGCCUUGGUCGAAAGUACCGAUGAAGGACGUAACAGACUGCGAUAAGCUUCGGGGAGCUGCCAAUAAGCUUUGAUCCGAAGAUUUCCGAAUAAGUUAACUAGUCGCCUUUGGCGACAUUUCUUACUGAAUUCAUAGGUAAGAGAAGGGUACGCGCUGAACUGAAACAUCUAAUUAAGCGCAGGAAAAUAAAUCAACAGAGAUUCCCCAAGUAGCGGCGAGCGAAAAGGGAACAGCCUAAACUCGUGCUUCGCACGAGAAACUUCAAAAUUCAAGAUACAAGAUACAAAUAAAUCCAAAAUUUAAAAACCUUAAAUUUUAAAAAUUGGAAUUUAAAAAUUAUUUGUUUCUUGGUUAUUGUUUAUUGGAAUUUCUCACGCGGAGCGUGAGGGUUGCGGGAUCUGCGAUAUGGCAUCAGUUUUGGAUAGCUGAACAGAUUGGAAAGUCUGACCAAAGUAAGUGAUAGUCUUGUAAGCGAAAUCUAAAACUGGCCUAGCAGACACCCAAGUAACACAGGACACGUGUAAUCCUGUGUGAAUCUGGGACGACCUCGUUCUAAGGCUAAAUAUACUUUCGGACCGAUAGUGAACUAGUACCGUGAGGGAAAGGUGAAAAGAAGGGCGGAAUGCCCUGUGAAAUAGUACCUGAAACCGUAUGUUGACAAGCAGAGAAAGUGCUGAGAGUAAUCGAAGUACAAUCUCGUGCCUAUUGAAGAAUGAACCGGUGAGUUACCGUAUCCAUCUUGUUUAACCCCGCUAAGCGGGGGAAGGCGUAGUGAAAGCGAGGGUUAAUAGCCCGUUUGAUGGAUGCGAUAGACCCGAAACCGAGUGAGCUAACCAUGUCCAGGGUGAACUCCGACGAAAGUCGGAGGGAGGCCCGAACCCUUUUCUGUAGCAAUAGAUUGGGAUGAGGUGUGGUUAGAGGUGAUAUGCCAAACGAACUCGGAGAUAGCUGGUUCUCCUCGAAAUAUAUCUAGGUAUAGCCUGUCCGAUGACAACUGGGGGUAGAGCACUGGAUCGGUUUUCCGGCGCAAGCCGGAGGAUCGAAUCAAACUCCGAAUACCAGAUUGCAAUAUCGGAUGGAGUCAGUCCAAUCCGGCUAAGCGGAGAGGGCAAAAGGGAAACAUCCCAGAUCAUUAGCUAAGGUCCCUAAAUAAAGUUUAAGUGUUAAAGGAAGUCAAGUACCUUAUACAGCCAGGAAGUUGGCUUAGAAGCAGCCAUCUUUUAAAGAAAGCGUAACAGCUCGCUGGUCUAUUAUGGUAUUUGGCGCCGACAAUGAACCGGGGCUAAAAUUUUUACCGAAGCUAUGGAUACGUUCAUGCGCAAGCACUGAACGCAUGGUAGAGGAGCGUACCGCACUUAGUGAAGGCUCGCCGUAAGGCGGACUGGAAAGUGCGGCAGUGAGAAUGCCGGUAUGAGUAGCGAAAUUCCGAUGAAAAAUCGGAACGCCGAAUGCCCAAGGUUUCCGUUUCAAUGUUAAUCAGAGACGGGUUAAUCGGUCCUAAGGUCAGUCCGCCGCAAGGCGGGGUAGCCGAUGGAUAACAGGUUAAAAUUCCUGUAUUUGUUUAUGUUUGACAAGUUGAAACUCAAUUUAUUGAGUGUAGAGCCUAUAAGGGGGGACAAAGUGGAAUUUUCUAUUUUCAGGAAAAUCCCCGUGUAGGAAGCAUAAAUAAACCGUACCACAAACCGACACAGGUGGGCGAGUUGAGUAUACAAAGGCGAUCGGGAUAACUAUCCUUAAGGAACUCGGCAACGAAAGCUGGACGUAAGCUAUGCGAGAUGUCCUGUCCUGAGAGAAAUCGAAGGAUUACAACAAAAGACGCUGAGCGACUGUUUAACAAAAACACAGGUCCCUGCUAAUCCGAAAGGAGAUGUAUAGGGGCUGAUACCUGCCCAGUGCCAGUAAUUUACUGUCUCAAGUGACUCCCUCCGCAAGGUCGGGAUGAGCCUGGGGCCUAAGAUCUGGUGAACGGCAGCAGUAACUAUAACUGUUCCAUGGUAGCGAAGUUCCUUGUCUGGUGAGUUCAGACCCGCACGAAAGGUAAAACGACUUAGCGACUGUCUUGAGGAUAGACCCGGCGAAAUUGCAAUGGCUGUGAAGAUGCGGCCUUCCCAUACUUGGACAAAAAGACCCCGUGGAGCUUUACUGUAGCUUGACCCUGAUUUAAAGUUAAAAUUGUGUAGCGUAGGAGGGAGCUUCGGCAACAAUGAAACACCUCUCUUUUUUGAAUUUAAAUCUAACCAUAACCCUUAUAAAAACAGGGCAUGGAACAAGGUCUGGCGGGCAGUUUGACUGGGGCGGUCCCCUCCAAAAAAGUAACGGAGGGGUACAAAGGUACACUUAAGCCGUAAGGAAAUCGGCUGUUAAGCGUAAAGGUAUAAAGUGUGCUUGAUAGCAAGACUUACAAGUCGAGCUAGUGCGAAAGCAGGUCUUAAUGAUCCCCCGCCACCUCGAGGGAGGGGUGGGGCUUAUCGGAUAAAAGCUACCCCGGGGAUACAUGUGUGUUCCAGUCCUGAUGUAUAAUUACAUCGGGCUGAAAAAAUAUGGCUAAUAACGGUGAAACCUAAGAGUUGGUGGUUUGGUCUUACCAAAUACAUCGAGACAAUUUUUAGGCAAUACCGUGGGAAGUCGAAGGUAUGGACAAGAUUCAAAAAGCAGUAAUAAUAGGAUCAAUUUUAGGAGAUGGAUUCUUGCAGAAAACUGGUAAGAAUAAUGCUCGUUUAAGGCUAGAACAUAGCUUAAAACAAAAAGAUUAUUUACUCUGGAAGUCUCAAAUUUUAAGUAAUUUCUUUCAGAAAAAACCUGAUAUUUUGGAAAGAACAAAUCUAAAAUUCGGUAAAACUUAUCAGUAUAUUAGAAACCAAUCUUAUUCAGGUUUAGAAUUAGGAAAGUUUCAUAAACUUUUCUAUGUUGAUAACAGGAAAAUAAUUCCAAAUCAAAUCUCUAAACUUUUAGAAGAUCCAUUAUCGCUGGCAGUUUGGUUUAUGGAUGAUGGUUAUUAUUAUCAAAGAGAUAAAAUAGCUUAUAUAUACAUACCCAAAUAUGACCAGGAAUCAAUUAAUAAAUUAUUAAAUGCUUUGAAUUUAAAUUAUGGUUUAAUUCCUCAAUUUAAAAUUAAAAAAAGAGGGGAAUAUGUUUUAAUUUUUACUGUAAAAGAUACGGCAAAAUUAAUGCAAAUUAUCAAACCAUAUAUUAUAAAAUCUAUGUCCUAUAAACUACCUUUUGACCCCGUAUCGACUGAACCUAGUAGCAAGGAGUGAAUAUCCGUUUACUCCUGGGUGAGAUGUGAGGUUAAAUCUUGCAUAAUAUGCCGUAGUCCGACAUAAUGUCGGACAAGAUAUAGUCAGUACUUCGAGCAAUCGGAGAAUAUUUACGAACAGGCUAGUCUUGCCCUACAGUCCACAAGGACGGCAAGGUUCGGCACCUCGAUGUCGGCUCAUCACAGCGCGGGGCUGAAGCAGGUCCCAAGCGUCUGGCUGUUCGCCAGUUAAAGUGGUACGCGAGCUGGGUUCAGAGCGUCGUAAGACAGCUCGGACUCUAUCCAGUAUGGGCGUUUUGAUACUUGAGGGGAGUUAUUUCUAGUACGAGAGGACCGAAAUGAGGGAACCUCUAGUGUGCCUGUUGUAUGUUGAAUGCAACGCAGGGUAGCUACGUUCCUAACUGAUAAGCGCUGAAAGCAUCUAAGCACGAAGCAGGCCCUAAGAUGAGGUAUCUUUUAAGACCCCCCGUAGACUACGGGGUUAAUAGGUUGGCGGUGUAAGCACUGUAAGGUGUUUAGCCUACCAAUACUAAUGGUC
rnacentral:rRNA from 1 species